rnacentral:rRNA from 1 species
UACGUAGGCAGCGAGCGUUGUUCGGAGUUACUGGGCGUAAAGGGUGUGUAGGCGGUUUUCUAAGUUUGGUGUGAAAUCUCCCGGCUUAACCGGGAGGGUGCGCCGAAAACUGGGAGACUAGAGUGCGGGAUGGGAGAGUAGAAUUCCUGGUGUAGCGGUGAAAUGCGUAGAUAUCUGGAGGAACACCGGUGGCGAAGGCGGCAUCCUGGACCGGUAUUGACGCUGAGGCGCGAAAGCCAGGGGAGCAAACGGG